rnacentral:rRNA from 1 species
UACGUAGGUGGCAAGCGUUGUUCGGAUUUACUGGGCGUAAAGCGCGUGUAGGCGGCUUUGCAAGUCGGAUGUGAAAGCCCACGGCUCAACCGUGGAAGUGCAUCCGAAACUGCAUGGCUGGAGUCUCGGAGAGGAGGGUGGAAUUCCUGGUGUAGCGGUGAAAUGCGUAGAGAUCAGGAGGAACACCCGGGGCGAAGGCGGCCCUCUGGCUCGACCCUGACGCUGAGGCGCGAAAGCGUGGGGAGCGAACGGG